rnacentral:piRNA from 1 species
UCAGGGGCUGACUUGGUGGGAUCAUCAA